GAGCCUGUAACCAUUCUGAGAUUCGAUAAUGCGGUGUUGGUCCCUGAGGGUGUCAUUCGUCCUAAUGUACCAUGAUAUUGUUGAUAUUACAAAUUUGUAACCAUGGACAAAAUUUAUAUGUUGCAAUGAUAUGAAAUUGUAAACCUCCAUUAAGCCAGGUUAGGUUGCGAGUACUGUGAUAAUACACCUAUCAAUAUUUCCACACGAAAACAACUAUUCAGGAUAUUAAACGUUGUCAGUUCAAGUGUCCAUUACUCGAAAUAUUAUCUACAAAAUCUGUAAUGUAACGUUAGGUUCUAAAAGCAAUGUAUGUACCACCUCCGAUUGUAAAUGGAUUUAAGUAAUAAAUUGAAGAAUGCUGGUAUUAGAAUCUUUGAUUGCAUUGUUCUUAUGAACGGUAACGAUGACAACAGGGUUUGUCGACAAGAGAUAGUGUAUAAUUGCUGCGUUUGAAUGAAGAAAUACAAAAGAUACGAUCUGCAAGGUAAUAUAAGAAAGCAUCGUUCUCUUAAUUUAAUGGUUUAAUGUAAGAACGGAAAGUACUAUUCCAUUAAUUUAAUGCUGUAAGUCACAAAUCGAUGAUAAUGAUGGAAAAAUUAUUAUUUCCAGCGAUUAUUAACUGUAUGUCGGCAAAAAAAUAUUGAGAAAUGGAAUCGAAUUUUCAAUUGUUUUUUUUUCAAGCUAUAAACAGAGCAUGUUUCAUUAAUUAGACAGCUUAAAAACACAACAUGAACUAAUGACUACAUGCAAUCUAAGCAAUGGUAUAUGAUAUAGAUCAGGGCUGUCCAGACUAGAUAAAAUCGCGGCCCAAUACAAGUCACUAAAUAGCUUGGAGGGCCACAGAAAUAAAUACAUACGUUCAUAAUUUUUCUGAAGAAAAAUAAAAAUACAUGAGGCCCAUGGGCCGUGCUUUGGACACCCCUGAUAUUGAUGAACGCUCCUAGAUGUAUUACUUGAAAGUAAAAUCUGUCGAAAUAUUUUACGGAUAUAACACGAAGUCAAUACAAAGGGUAUUGUAAUUAUGUGUUAAACGUACUAAUUAAGUGUGAUACAUUUUCUUAUUUAAUUGGCUUAAUCAAGAAAAUUAGUAUUGGCUUAAAUAAUUACUUAAAGACAGAGAGCACAAACAAAAUAAUUGAAAGUGAAAUCCUAGGAACAGAUAAAAAAAACUUACCAAAAAUGGUUAAUUUGUGGAGUAAAUGAUGUGUUAAAGUCUAUCGUUCUAAUACUACUGAACCGACAUAACAAAAAACAAUGAUAUCUGAAGAAAGAUUUUUCAGUAGAUCAAAUCCAGUGCUACUUGAUGAACGAGCAAAACCAAUAUAAAUAAA